GGUCGGUGGUGGUCUGUGGUGGUGUAGAGAUGGUAGGUGGUGGUGUAGGGAUGGUAGGUGGUGGUCUGUGGUGGUGUAGAGAUGGUAGGUGGAGGUCUGUGGGGGUGUAGAGAUGGUAGGUGGUGGUGUAGAGAUGGUAGGUGGUGGUCUGUGGUGGUGUAGAGAUGGUAGGUGGUGGUGUAGAGAUGGUAGGUGGGGGUCUGUGGUGGUGUAGAGAUGGUAGGUGGUGGUCUGUGGUGGUGUAGAGAUGGUUGGUGGGGGUCUGUGGUGUUGUAGAGAUGGUCUGUGGUUGUCUGUGGUGGUGUAGAGAUGGUAGGUAGGGGUCUGUGGUGGUGUAGAGAAUGUAGGUGGGGGUCU
rnacentral:lncRNA from 1 species